UCUCCGUUGGUGAACCAGCGGAGGGAUCAUUACAGAGUUGCAAAACUCCCAAACCAUUGUGAACGUUACCUAUCCCGUUGCUUCGGCGGGCGGCCCGGGCCCCGCGCCCGGCGCCCCCCGCCCCCCCGUGGGCGCCCGCCGGAGGUAAACCAAACCCUUGAAUUGCAUGGUCUCUCUGAGUCUUCUGUACUGAAUAAGUCAAAACUUUCAACAACGGAUCUCUUGGUUCUG
rnacentral:misc_RNA from 1 species